rnacentral:misc_RNA from 1 species
CUCUGGGUUGAUUAUACAUGUAUUUAUGAAUUGAUUAAAGUAAAUAAAGCGGCCAUGUAAAUCCAUAAAUGGUACCAGUAGUUUAAAUAUUUGCAAAGUUUUCUGUUAAGUUUCAGAAUGACAACAUUUUAAUUUUAACGUGGGUUACUUAAAAAUGCGUCAAUCAAUUUCCAGCUAUAUAUGUUUUGUUCCAAGAUACAAACUUUCAUCCCAGUGUAUAUAAUACAUAAGUGUAGGAGUCGCACCCUUCCUUAAUUUGCCCACAUUCCGCAUUGAUUGUGCUUUUGUAGCAACUUCUUUUUUUCAAUUUAAACUGGUCUUAGUAUUGUUUACUUGUGUUGAUGUGAUAUUUAAAGAGGAUUGGUUGAUUUGUAAAAUGAUAUUUUCUUGAUAAUAAUUUUUCAUAACUGAGAAAUGUUUUAACAUGUACAUAUAACAGAUUUUAUUUAUUUUUUUCUCCUGACCAAAAUAUCAACCAAGAAAAAUCCAGUGAAAGGCAUGAGGAUUAUCUAAAUUUGUCUUCUAAUAUACUAGUUUCAUAUUUUUAUGAAUGUAAAUUUGUGAAUAGCCAGGUGUUGCACACACAGAGAGAGAGAGAAAGAGAGAGAGAUUGUGUGAAUUUUACACUUGUAUAAUUUAUUCAAUUAUCAGUAAACAUUUGAACUUUUUUUUAGAAAAAAUUUCCUUGUGUCUUAGAUUUUUAAUGGCUCAGAUUGUCUUUCCUAUGAAAUUCUAUCUGGUACUUUAUGAAAAUUGAAUGUAAAAUUUGAAAGGGAUACAUAUCUUCAUUAUAAUUUAAAUAUUUUACAAUGUAACAAAAGUGAUGACAUUUUUUUUUUCUUUUUGAUAAUUUAUAAUAUUAUCUCAAUAAGAAAUAAAAUUUAAUUAUCACCUUUGAAGUACAUGUACCAGUAUUUCAAACUGUGAAUAUUUUUCCUCAAAGUACAUUUUUCUAAAUGUUGGUGACUUUCUGUGAAAUUUUACUUGAUUGCGAGUUAUGAUCACAAUAAACAUUUUCAUCAUUUU